rnacentral:rRNA from 1 species
GAUGAACGCUAGCGGCAGGCCUAACACAUGCAAGUCGAGGGGUAGAGGAAGCUUGCUUCCUUGAGACCGGCGCACGGGUGCGUAACGCGUAUGCAAUCUGCCUUGUACAGAGGGAUAGCCCAGAGAAAUUUGGAUUAAUACCUCAUAGUAUUAUUGAAUGGCAUCAUUUAAUAAUUAAAGUUCCAACGGUACAAGAUGAGCAUGCGUCCUAUUAGCUAGUUGGUGUGGUAACGGCAUACCAAGGCUACGAUAGGUAGGGGUCCUGAGAGGGAGAUCCCCCACACUGGUACUGAGACACGGACCAGACUCCUACGGGAGGCAGCAGUGAGGAAUAUUGGACAAUGGGCGCAAGCCUGAUCCAGCCAUGCCGCGUGCAGGAAGACGCAUCUAUGGUGUGUAAACUGCUUUUGUACGGGAAAAACACUCCCUCGUGAGGGACUUGACGGUACCGUAAGAAUAAGGAUCGGCUAACUCCGUGCC